rnacentral:rRNA from 1 species
GGGGAAUAUUGGACAAUGGGCGAAAGCCUGAUCCAGCCAUGCCGCGUGUGUGAAGAAGGUCUUCGGAUUGUAAAGCACUUUAAGUUGGGAGGAAGGGCUGCAAGUUAAUACCUUGUAGUUUUGACGUUACCAGCAGAAUAAGCACCGGCUAACUUCGUGCCAGCAGCCGCGGUAAUACGAAGGGUGCAAGCGUUAAUCGGAAUUACUGGGCGUAAAGCGCGCGUAGGUGGUUUGGUAAGAUGGAUGUGAAAUCCCCGGGCUCAACCUGGGAACUGCAUCCAUAACUGCCUGACUAGAGUACGGUAGAGGGUGGUGGAAUUUCCUGUGUAGCGGUGAAAUGCGUAGAUAUAGGAAGGAACACCAGUGGUGAAAACAGGUAGCUGGGGUUGUGCUGACGCUGAGACACGAAAGCUAGGGGAGCGAACG